AAAAAAAAUGCAAGGUGCAGAGUAAUGGAAUAAAAAAAAUUCACAAGGUCAUUUUUUAAAAGUUUAACUUUUAACUUAAUCACACCAUUUUUCUAACACUAGAGUUGCUAUCAAACGAAAAAGCUGCAUAGUAGAAUGCAAAACCAUGAAAUGCAGAGACGUGGAAUUUUAAAAAAGCAAGGUCAGAGGCAGAGGCCAAAUAUACAUAUUUUUUAAGCUGAACUUAUUUUCAUUUAAACACCGUGCUUUUAAAAAGAUGUCAAAUGCAAGAAGGUACAAAAUACACAAAACCCAGCACAAUGAUCAAAUGUGUCCAUCUAGUGCAUGUUUACAUAGAAAACAAUAGAAAAGCACAAAAACAAAUGAAACAAAUUGAAAAGCAGUGUACAGUGAACAGCUCCUGUGUAUGCAUUUAAAACAGCCUUUGCAUGGCGAGAUAUAAAAUUCUCUUUGGAAAAAAAAAACAAAAAAAACUGUCUUUCUUUUUUGAUUAGUGUAAACGGGAUCAGAGCACAUGUUUCUGCUCUUGUGUUUAAGUCCUCUACAGAUAGCAGUCUUCUCAUUAAACUGAUCUCCUGCAGUGAUGGAGAUCCAUGUACCGGUGUGAUUCGGCUUGAGAACACUGAGUCUAAUCAUGCCUAUUAUCCAAUGCAUUUCCUCAGUCUCUAGGAGUUGUGCUUAAAAACAAUUGAUGAUUAUACUGAAAAAAACAUAGGUAGUGCAGCCAACCCUUGGUGUUUAUGCGAUAAAAUGCUUAAUUAAUACAUUACAGUGUGAAAAAAUCUCCAACCGAUGCUUGUGCUUGUGAAGACUGAAGUAUAGAGCACAGUUCAGACACUCUUCCGGCAGCUUCCCACAUUUUCUUUGAAUAUACCACUUGCCGAGCUAUCUGAAUUCAAGUCUUUAUGCUACUUUGUAGUGGGAAUGAAGAAAAAUACCCUGAGGAUAUUUUCAACAGACCCGAGUGUCCAUGGGUGAAAGGGCUUAGAUCAAUGCAGAGUAAUUACACAUGCUUCCGUCCAGUAUUACAGAACUCUGUAGGGUUGAAGAGGGACAGAGGGAAAUAACAUUAUUUUGCCGUGUCAGACUGUCAUGCCUGUCAGUAAUAUUCUGUAAUGAUUAUCUUUAAUGAACAGCUAAUAAUUAAACAAGUAUGAUUCGACCCCAAGAUGUCACAAAUGGCAGCUGCUUGGCUGGUGCAGGACCUUUGAAAGUGGAGAAGCUAGAGCCUGCAAAUUUGCUUACGAAGGAUUUUUCACGUUACUGAUCACUGUUAAAAGGGAAAAGUUUCACACUUUCAAGAGACUUAAACAUUUGUCACUAGUACAACAUCUACUAUCCCAGGUGAAAAAACACAAUGUCCCCACUGGAUGCAACAAAUGCCUCAUUUGUAAUGGGUUUUAUUGUUUUUUUCUCAUCUAGUGAUGUCCGGAUCGCAAACCAAGCUUUCUAUUUAACCGGAUCUUCUUAGUGAACCAGUUCACCAAAUCAAACUGAAUCAUUUGAAACGGUUUGCACCUCCAGUAAGCACUAAUCCGCAAAUUACUUAAGUUAUUCGUACCUUACACUCCCUCUGACGCGAAAUAAACCAAUAUCCCGAGUUAUUCAGUUACUUCUAACAGUACUUUGACUGAACUGCUGAAAGAGAACCGAUGAUGGGAUGUGCACAAGCAGAGCAGCUGCACUGAAUCUCGUGCUGCUGGCCUGGGAGGCGGCAUAGUAUGUUAAGGGGCGUAACAUUUCCGUCACACGCUUGAGGCAUUCGGCCAAUCACAACGCACUGGAUAGCUGGCCAAUCAGAGCACACCUCGCUUUUUCAGAACGAUGAGCUUUGUAAAAAUCGAUGCAUUUCAGAAAGGCGGGGCAUAGAGGAGAAACAAUAAUGGAAUAUGGAAAAUAUUGUGUUUUUUGAACCUUAAACCACAUAAACACAUUGCAUUAUACCAAAUACACAAAAUAAUGUUCUUUUUAGCAGCAUCAUAUGACCCCUUUAAGAGUAAAAUUAUACCUGUCAUUGUCUUCAAAAGUAAAUUAAAUACAAAAUGACUUCACAAGUAAAGUAGCAUAAAAGUAAAAAGAGUAUAAAAUAGCCCCUGGUUUUUGGGUGUAGAAUAGAAAUAAUAUUAAAUCACUAUUAUUCAUUUCCCAACUGAACUAUUCACAUAGAACAAACAAUGCAUUUGUGAGUGUGUCAUUCUUUACAACAUGAAUUGAUUUGUAUAAAUU
ensembl:lncRNA